rnacentral:rRNA from 1 species
UGGGGAAUAUUGCACAAUGGGCGCAAGCCUGAUGCAGCCAUGCCGCGUGUAUGAAGAAGGCCUUCGGGUUGUAAAGUACCUUCAGCGAGGAGGAAGGCGUUGUGGUUAAUAACCGCAACGAUUGACGUUACUCGCAGAAGAAGCACCGGCUAACUCCGUGCCAGCAGCCGCGGUAAUACGGAGGGUGCAAGCGUUAAUCGGAAUUACUGGGCGUAAAGCGCACGCAGGCGGUCUGUCAAGUCGGAUGUGAAAUCCCCGGGCUCAACCUGGGAACUGCGUCCGAAACUGGCAGGCUAGAGUCUUGUAGAGGGGGGUAGAAUUCCAGGUGUAGCGGUGAAAUGCGUAGAGAUCUGGAGGAAUACCGGUGGCGAAGGCGGCCCCCUGGACAAAGACUGACGCUCAGGUGCGAAAGCGUGGGGAGCAAACA